rnacentral:lncRNA from 10 species
GCCGGGUGUGGUGGCACGUGCCUGUAAUGCCAGCUACUUGGGAGGCUGAAGCACAAGAAUUGCUUGAACCCAGGAGGCAGAGGUUGCAGUGAGCUGAAGUCUUGCCACUGCACUCCAGCCUAGGUGACAGUAUGAGACUCUCAAAAAUAAAUAAAUAUAUACAUGUGUGUGUGUGUAAAGAGACAGCAUCUCACUCUGUCACCCAGGCUGGAGUGCAGUGGCACGUCAUAGCUCACUGCAGCCUCGAACUCCUGGGCUCCAGUGAUACUCCUGCC